rnacentral:rRNA from 1 species
AUGUCUUCCUCCUCUGCCACCUCCCACUCAAGCCUAAAUGGCCAGGUCAUGGAGAAGCUCUCCCGCACAAAUUAUGUGCUAUGGCGGACACAGAUCAUGCCCCAGCUGAGAGGGGCCGGUCUCUUUGGCUAUGCGGACGGCACCAUGCCGGAACCAGCUAGCCUUCUCGUCACCAAGGACAAGGACGGGAAGGAGACCUCUGAGCCCAACCCUCUCCACCCCAUCUAGGUCAUGGAGAACCAUCAGGUGCUCGGCUUCCUACUAAGCAACCUCUCCAAAGAGGUGCUCGUCACGGUGACCGCGAUCACCACCGCGCACGCGCUCUGGACGGCACUGGCGGGCAUGUUUUCGUCGCAGUCCUUGAGCCACGUCAACAACAUCCGCACCGCCCUCAUCAAUGCCUAG